CUCCUGCGUACAGGGAACACGCAACCCCGAAGGAUCGGGGAAGGGACGUCGCCAGGGAGGCGAUUCAUCAGGAUGAUGACGAGGGACU
rnacentral:misc_RNA from 1 species